rnacentral:rRNA from 1 species
GACGAACGCUGGCGGCGUGCCUAAUACAUGCAAGUAGAACGCACAGUUUAUACCGUAGCUUGCUACACCAUAGACUGUGAGUUGCGAACGGGUGAGUAACGCGUAGGUAACCUGCCUGGUAGCGGGGGAUAACUAUUGGAAACGAUAGCUAAUACCGCAUAAUAUUAAUUAUUGCAUGAUAAUUAAUUGAAAGGUGCAAUUGCACCACUACCAGAUGGACCUGCGUUGUAUUAGCUAGUAGGUGAGGUAACGGCUCACCUAGGCGACGAUACAUAGCCGACCGGAGAGGGUGAUCGGCCACACUGGGACUGAGACACGGCCCAGACUCCUACGGGAGGCAGCAGUAGGGAAUCUUCGGCAAGGGACGAAAGUCUGACCGAGCAACGCCGCGUGAGUGAAGAAGGUUUUCGGAUCGUAAAGCUCGGUUGUAAGAGAAGAACGGGUGUGAGAGUGGAAAGUUCACACUGUGACGGUAUCUUACCAGAAAGAGACGGCUAACUACGUG